AACGGUCUAUACCUGCGGUACCUGCGGAAGGAUCAUUACCGAGUUAUCCAACUCCCAACCCCUGUGAAUCAUACCUUUAAUUGUUGCUUCGGCGGGACUUCGCGCCCGCCGGGGACCCAAACCUUCUGAAUUUUUUAAUAAGUAUCUUCUGAGUGGUUAAAAAAAAUGAAUCAAAACUUUUAGCAACGGAUCUCU
rnacentral:misc_RNA from 1 species